GACGAACGCUGGCGGCGUGCUUAACACAUGCAAGUCGAACGGAAAGGCCCUGCUUUUGUGGUGUGCUCGAGUGGCGAACGGGUGAGUAACACGUGAGUAACCUGCCCUUGACUUUGGGAUAACUUCAGGAAACUGGGGCUAAUACCGGAUAGGAGCUCCUGCUGCAUGGUGGGGGUUGGAAAUUUUCGGCGGGUGGGGAUGGACUCGCGGCUUAUCAGCUUGCUGGUUGGGUAGGUGCUUACCAAGGCUUUGACGGGUCGCCGGCAUGAGAGGGUGGCCGGCGACCAGGGGCCUGAGGGACGGAGCAGACGGGAAUGGGGGGCAGUGGUGGGGAGUAUGGCACAGUGGGAGCGAGUCUGAUGAAGAAACGCUGGGGGCGGGAUGACGGUCUUCGGGGAAUGAAACGCAGUAGCCUGUGACGAAGCGUGAGUGACGGUACUGAGAGAAGAAGCACCGGCUAACUACGUG
rnacentral:rRNA from 1 species